GACGAACGCUGGCGGCGUGCUUAACACAUGCAAGUCGAACGGAAAGGCCCUGCUUUUGUGGGGUGCUCGAGUGGCGAACGGGUGAGUAACACGUGAGUAACCUGCCCUUGACUUUGGGAUAACUUCAGGAAACUGGGGCUAAUACCGGAUAGGAGCUCCUGCUGCAUGGUGGGGGUUGGAAAGUUUCGGCGGUUGGGGAUGGACUCGCGGCUUAUCAGCUUGUUGGUGGGGUAGUGGCUUACCAAGGCUUUGACGGGUAGCCGGCCUGAGAGGGUGACCGGCCACAUUGGGACUGAGAUACGGCCCAGACUCCUACGGGAGGCAGCAGUGGGGAAUAUUGCACAAUGGGCGGAAGACUGAUGCAGCAACGCCGCGUGCGGGAUGACGGCCUUCGGGGUGUAAAACGCUUUCGCCUGUGACGAAGCGUGAGUGACGGUAAUGGGUAAAGAAGCACCGGCUAACUACG
rnacentral:rRNA from 1 species